CAGUCAGCCACCCAGUGCCAUCCAACCUUGACUUUGAACCAGUGAGAACUCUUCAGCACUAACCUGGGAUACCCAGGCCUGUGUCAAAGUGGAAUCACAUGUUAUAUGGAAUGGAGUGACAGCACACCCGAGCCCAUGUCUCAGCGUCAAGAGUGAUUUUGCUGGACUUUUAAAGUUAACACUAUGCACAGCACUGUGAGCUCUGCCAUGGAAGUUCCGAGUAAAGGUUGUAUCACAAGCUUUCUGCAUGCCUGAACUGGAUGGGGUGGAAUAUCUGCACUCAUGCAGAGGACAC